UAAGCAAGUAGUUUUGUAAUUAAUAAAAGAUAAAAUAAAUAAUUUUUGUUGGGAAGUAUAUGUAUAUUAAAUAAAGUAUUAUUAAUAUUGAAGAAUUUAGUAAUGAAAGAAAAAUUAUUUUUAUUUAUAUUUUUAGUAUUGUAAAAGAAUUUUUUUAUUUAAUUAAAAGAAAUAAUUAAAUUAUGUACCUUUUGUAUCAGGGUUUAUUAAAAUUAAAAAAUAUAUAUUUUUUUCUCGAAGCUAAUAGAUUUAAUUAAUUAUGUAAUUUAAUGUGGCAAUAUUAUAAAUAAUAGUUAAUUGGAAAUGAGAUGUUUAUCGAAAUUAGUAUAUCUAGUUAUUUUAUAAAUGAAUUUAAUUCAGACUAUAUUUUUAAUUAAUUUAAUUGAAGUAAAUAAAAUUUGAAUAUAGUUAAGAAUUUAAGGGAUAAGCUUUAAAUUUUUUUUAAAAUGGUAAGUUAUUAUUUUAUAUAUAUAGAUUAAUUUAAAAUAUUAUUGUAUUUUUUAAUGUUAAUUAUAAAAUAAAAUUUAAGUAAAUUAAAAAUUUAAUUUAUUAUUAAUUUAAUAAUUUAUAAAAUUGAAAAUUUAAAUAAUUUAAAUUUUGGAAUAAUGAUAAAAUUAGUAAAAAUAAUGAUUUAAAAGAUAUUAAUUGAAUUUGAAAGAUUAAAUUAAGGAAUUAGGCAAUAAUUUUAUUCGCCUGUUUAGUAAAAACAUGGUUUAUUGAAAAUAAUUUUAAAUCUAAUCUGCUCAAUGAUUAAUUAAAUAGCUGCAGUAUUUUGACUGUACAAAGGUAGCAAAAUCAAUUGGCUUUUUAUUGAAGUCGGGUAUGAAGGAUUGAACGAGAUAAAAGCUGUCUCAAUUUAAUUAAAGUUUGAAUUUUAUUUUAAGUAAAAAUUCUUAAAUGUAUUUAAAAGACGAGAAGACCCUAUAGAAUUUAAUAGAAAAUAUUGUAUUAUUAAUUUAUAUAUUUUUAAAAUAUAAUAUUAUUUAUUUAAUUGGGGAUAAUUUAAAAAUUUAAAAAAUUUUUUAAUUUAAAAGAAAUUAAUUUUUAAGAAUUAAUAUAUUUAUAUGAAUCAUAAAUUUAUGAUUGUUUAUUAAAAUCCAUUAUUAAUGAAAUUAAAUGAAAUUACCUUAGGGAUAACAGCGUAAUUUUUUUGGAGAGGAUAUUGAUAAAAAAGGUUGCGACCUCGAUGUUGAAUUAAGUUAAAUAGUUAAUAGAAAGAUUAGCUAAAUUAAGUCUGUUCGACUUUUAAAAACUUACAUGAUUUGAGUUUAAAACGGUGUGAGCCAGUUUGGAUUCUAUCUUUAAUUAAUUAAAAUAGUUUUGUACGAAAGGACUUGCUUUUUUUACAAUUGUAAAAAUUUAUGAAUAAAUAUUA
rnacentral:rRNA from 1 species